AUUUUUAUAGUCUGAAGAACGUGUCUUUUGAGAGUAUGGACUUGUCCCCCUAGUGUAGCUGUUCUCCAAGCAACCUUCCUAACUGCAUCAUGCAGAGCCCUCUUCCCUUUCUCUGAUAGCCACACAAUCACCUUGUGGCUAACAAGCUAAUGUAGCUUUUGCUUCUGUGGGAAGUACCAUUUGAGAAGUAUUAAUGCACUUUGGCUUUCUGGAACAUGAUGAGGGAUUUUAUUGUUCUUUGGAUAAAAUUGGCCAUCAAUUUCUGCUUUUAGGUUUUAUUUCACUCCAACCCAGACAUCUGUUCUCCUCCAAGGUGGAAAUAAAGGAGAUAGGUUGGCAUCUGAUGAGCCAGCACUUCAAAGACCAGCACUGGCUUAGCUCCAGUUUCAGGAUUCUUGUUCCCGUACACAGCCUUCAGAUCUGUUCAAUGCUAUGCUAUAGUUUUCUAUGA
rnacentral:lncRNA from 1 species